UACGUAGGGCGCAAGCGUUAUCCGGAAUUAUUGGGCGUAAAGAGCUCGUAGGCGGUUUGUCGCGUCUGCCGUGAAAGUCCGGGGCUCAACUCCGGAUCUGCGGUGGGUACGGGCAGACUAGAGUGAUGUAGGGGAGACUGGAAUUCCUGGUGUAGCGGUGAAAUGCGCAGAUAUCAGGAGGAACACCAGAGGCGAAGGCGGAUCGCUGGGCCAACACUGACGCUGAGACGCGAAAGCUAGGGUAGCAAACGGG
rnacentral:rRNA from 1 species